rnacentral:misc_RNA from 1 species
GAUGAAGAACGUAGCGAAAUGCGAUAAGUAAUGUGAAUUGCAGAAUUCAGUGAAUCAUCGAAUCUUUGAACGCACAUUGCGCCCGCCAGUAUUCUGGCGGGCAUGCCUGUCUGAGCGUCAUUUCAACCCUCAUGCCCCUAGGGCGUGGUGUUGGGGAUCGGCCAAAGCCCGCUAGGGACGGCCGGCCCCUAAAUCUAGUGGCGGACCCGUCGUGGCCUCCUCUGCGAAGUAGUGAUAUUCCGCAUCGGAGAGCGAUGAGCCCCUGCCGUUAAACCCCCAACUUUCCAAGGUUGACCUCAGAUCAGGUAGGAAUACCCGCUGAACUUAAGCAUAUCAAUAAGCGGAGGA